rnacentral:ncRNA from 2 species
GCGGGGAAAGAAGACCCUG